GCUUAACACAUGCAAGCCGAGGGGCAGCGGGGAGGAAGCUUGCUUUCUCCGCCGGCGACCGGCGCACGGGUGAGUAACACGUAUGCAACCUGCCCCUGUCAGGGGGACAACCCGCCGAAAGGCGGGCUAAACCCGCGUACAUGCCACCGGGGCAUCCCGGAGGCAGGAAAGGCUUCGGCCGGACAGGGAUGGGCAUGCGGCGCAUUAGGCAGUAGGCGGGGUAACGGCCCACCUAACCGACGAUGCGUAGGGGUUCUGAGAGGAAGGUCCCCCACACUGGUACUGAGACACGGACCAGACUCCUACGGGAGGCAGCAGUGAGGAAUAUUGGUCAAUGGUCGGGAGACUGAACCAGCCAAGCCGCGUGAGGGAUGAAGGUACAGAGUAUCGUAAACCUCUUUUGUCAGGGAACAAAGGCGGGGACGUGUCCCCGGAUGAGUGUACCAGAAGAAAAAGCAUCGGCUAACUCCGUGCCAGCAGCCGCGGUAAUACGGAGGAUGCGAGCGUUAUCCGGAUUUAUUGGGUUUAAAGGGUGCGCAGGCGGUCUGUUAAGUCAGCGGUCAAAGCCCGGGGCUCAACCCCGGCCCGCCGUUGAAACUGGCAGUCUCGAGUUGGAGAGAAGUAUGCGGAAUGCGCGGUGUAGCGGUGAAAUGCAUAGAUAUCGCGCAGAACUCCGAUUGCGAAGGCAGCAUGCCGGCUCCACACUGACGCUGAGGCACGAAAGCGUGGGUAUCGAACAGGAUUAGAUACCCUGGUAGUCCACGCAGUAAACGAUGAAUGCUGGCUGUCCGGGGGGGAUUGACCCCUGGGUGGCGAAGCGAAAGCGAUAAGCAUUCCACCUGGGGAGUACGCCGGCAACGGUGAAACUCAAAGGAAUUGACGGGGGCCCGCACAAGCGGAGGAACAUGUGGUUUAAUUCGAUGAUACGCGAGGAACCUUACCCGGGCUCAAACGGGGAGUGACUCAGGCAGAGACGCCUGUUUCCCACGGGACACUCCCCGAGGUGCUGCAUGGUUGUCGUCAGCUCGUGCCGUGAGGUGUCGGCUUAAGUGCCAUAACGAGCGCAACCCCCGCGUGCAGUUGCUAACAGAUAACGCUGAGGACUCUGCACGGACUGCCGGCGCAAGCCGCGAGGAAGGCGGGGAUGACGUCAAAUCAGCACGGCCCUUACGUCCGGGGCGACACACGUGUUACAAUGGGUGGUACAGCGGGAAGCCAGGCGGCGACGCCGAGCGGAACCCGAAAUCCACUCUCAGUUCGGAUCGGAGUCUGCAACCCGACUCCGUGAAGCUGGAUUCGCUAGUAAUCGCGCAUCAGCCAUGGCGCGGUGAAUACGUUCCCGGGCCUUGUACACACCGCCCGUCAAGCCAUGGGAGCCGAGGGCGCUUGAAGUG
rnacentral:rRNA from 1 species